rnacentral:tRNA from 2 species
GGUCCUAUAGCUCAGUUGGUUAGAGCACCUGACUCAUAAUCAGGGGGUCCCAGGUUCAAGCCCUGGUGGGACCACGA